GAGACAGGAAAUUUGUGGUAGAUGUUUAAAAUGGAAAUGUUUUUUUUAUUAAAAGGCACUGGUCAGUAUGGAUUUACAGAUGGAUUUAGGGGUCAUUACUUUUUCCCGUUAAGACUUUUCCAGAUGUUUUAGUGUCUUAUGGGAAAGGACUAAUUAUGGGAGAUUCAGAGUGUUUAAUAGUCACAGGGUUGCAGGUGUGAUUGCAGGGUACUGUAAGCGGUGCGUAACUGGUAGCAGGAAAGUCAGACGCAGGAGAGCAGAACUUGGUAAUAGCCGGAGCAGUUUAAAAUACAAAUAUGGGCACAAUAACCCGACGCGCACCAGUCAAACAAAUGUGCACAAGCACUUACAAUAAACAAUACCACACAAAGACAUGGGGGGAACAGAGGGUUAAAUACACAACACAUAAUGAGGGAAAUGAGAACCAGGUGUGUGGGAAACAAGACAAAACAAAUGGAAAUGGAUCGGCGAUGGCUAGAAGACCGGCGACGUCAACCGCCGAACACCGCCCGAACAAGGAGAGGCAUCGACUUCGGCAGAAGUCGUGACAGCUCCAGCCCGUCCUUGAAGAAGAGCUCUGCCCUUUUCUGUUUCCAGUGGCGUCGUCCAGACAGUCACCGCGUGCAUCUGCAUCCCAAGCGGCGUGCUUCAGCAAGGGUGCAGAACGUGCUGCGGAGGGAGUCCAGAGACUCAGCCGAGCUCAGAUGAAAAUCCUACGGAGGUUCAGUGGCUCCUCCUCAGCACUGAUGGCUACCUGCCACACCUAUAACAACACGUCCAGGCACAACGCUGUCAACAGGGACUUCAUGGCCGCUCUCUCCAAGAACCACGGGAGCACAGGAAAACGCAACAGUCCCCAGUCCACCAACAGAACCAAUGCCAUAGGCAUGCCAAAGUCUGCCCCCAAUGACAAGACACCCUGCAGUAUGCCAAGGUCGAUAUCCUCUGAGACCACCAGUUCCUCCUUGGCCUCCAAGCCCGCCAGUGUGAAGAAGUCUGCCUUGUCCCACCUCAAGAGGUUCCUCAUGCUGGAAGACAACCAGAAGACCAAGACCAAGGGGAGGACUCCGACUUACACUCCUCCUUCUGAAGACUGACAAACACUUGGCUCCACUGCAAUGACCAACAGUCAGCCAUUACACCACCAUGAUAUGACACUGACGCACCAGGCUCUCUCUGGCCUGCUUGCAAUUCAGAAUUGUCCUCUUGGAAUUCAGAACAACGGGGGAUGGGUCAGCAGUCAGUCAAUAAGUGAUACAGGGCCUCCUGUUGCACUAACUUUAAAAAAUAUAUAUUUUUUUUUACUUCCCAUGCCCCCCCCUCCCCCCAACUACCCCUGAGGUCCCCCUUCUGUAGAGCUGUUCAAACAUUAAUUGUCCCACACCACGGCAUCAUUCAGGAAUUCCAUUGUCCCUAUGAAUGGCGGGAACGGCAUCGGAAGCAAAGCUCCCCCUUUUCUUCCAUGUUAUUUAUGACGAGGCAAGCAGAAUAACUCAUUUCAAGUUAUAGGAUGUUUUGAUUGAGAGGAUGAUUUUAUUUAUUUGUUACAAUCACAUUUAUAUGAUAAAUGACAUACACAUUUAUAUUCAUGCUUAAGUUUCAUGCUUCUUGAAGUAUGUUUUUACUUGGUUGUCAUUUAUUUUCGUAGACUUAACUUUAUCUCACUCUUCUCUUGUGAGGUUACCAGCCAAGUAGAGCUGCUCUGUAGCUGUUUACAGGUUUGUUUGUGUGGCUCUACUAUUUUAUGAUCACUGCCAAAUGUUUUACUUUUAUGUAAAGGUCAAAUUUUUAUGUACUGGUGGUUUUGAGAUCAUAUUUGGCUGAAUGGGACGCAUCAACUGGUAACAUUGAUAUCGUUUAUAUGCCUGAACUUUAAUGACAAUGCAAACGUGACUUUCUUUCAGUAGUUUCAUGUUUGUUGAAGAUGGGUUUUGCUGUUUGAAGGCUUCAGUUUUUACCUGUUAGUUUUGAAAUUAUUAUAUAUAUUUUUUCAACGUUAGUUUAACAAUGUCUAUUAGACUGCUUUUGUUCCAACACACUUUCUAUUGUAUUUAGUGACAUGUUUAAUUAAUCCAAUGUGUGGGUCUGUAGCAUUUCACAGAAUACUGAAAUACCUCACAUUUUAUAUUCCUUUUACACCUUGCUUCUGUGAAAUAAAAAUGUUUUCUGGGCUUCUUAUUACUGUGUUACAUUAUAGAACUCCAAGAAGAUAUGUCAGUGUUGCAAUGCGAUCACGAUACUUAUCAAAAGUAUAAGUAACUUUUAAUUCCUUUAAGCAAACCAGACGGUGCCAUUUUGUUAUUCAUGGCUCACCAGGAGCACACUCCAACACUCGGACAUAAUUUACAAAUUGUGUGUUUAGUGAGUCCGUCAGCUCAGAGGCAGUAUGGAUGACCAG
rnacentral:lncRNA from 1 species